AUUGAACGCUGGCGGCAGGCUUAACACAUGCGAGUCGAGCGGAGAUGAGGUGCUUGCACCUUAUCUUAGCGGCGGACGGGUGAGUAAUGCUUAGGAAUCUGCCUAUUAGUGGGGGACAACAUUCCGAAAGGAAUGCUAAUACCGCAUACGCCCUACGGGGGAAAGCAGGGGCUCUUCGGACCUUGCGCUAAUAGAUGAGCCUAAGUCGGAUUAGCUAGUUGGUGGGGGAAAGGCCUACAAAGGCGACGAUCUGUAGCGGGUCUGAGAGGAUGAUCCGCCACACGGGGACUGAGACACGGCCCAGACUCCUACGGGAGGCAGCAGUGGGGAAUAUUGGACAAUGGGCGGAAGCCUGAUCCAGCCAUGCCGCGUGUGUGAAGAAGGCCUUUUGGUUGUAAAGCACUUUAAGCGAGGAGGAGGCUACCUGGAUUAAUACUCUAGGAUAGUGGACGUUACUCGCAGAAUAAGCACCGGCUAACUCUGUGCCAGCAGCCGCCGUAAUAC
rnacentral:rRNA from 1 species